GAUGAACGCUGGCGGCGUGCCUAAUACAUGCAAGUCGAGCGAACGGACGAGAAGCUUGCUUCUCUGAUGUUAGCGGCGGACGGGUGAGUAACAUGUGGAUAACCUACCUAUAAGACUGGGAUAACUUCGGGAAACCGGAGCUAAUACCGGAUAAUAUUUUGAACCGCAUGGUUCAAAAGUGAAAGACGGUCUUGCUGUCACUUAUAGAUGGAUCCGCGCUGCAUUAGCUAGUUGGUAAGGUAACGGCUUACCAAGGCAACGAUGCAUAGCCGACCUGAGAGGGUGAUCGGCCACACUGGAACUGAGACACGGUCCAGACUCCUACGGGAGGCAGCAGUAGGGAAUCUUCCGCAAUGGGCGAAAGCCUGACGGAGCAACGCCGCGUGAGUGAUGAAGGUCUUCGGAUCGUAAAACUCUGUUAUUAGGGAAGAACAUAUGUGUAAGUAACUGUGCACAUCUUGACGGUACCUAAUCAGAAAGCCACGGCUAACUACGU
rnacentral:rRNA from 1 species